GCAAAUAUGAUCUACAGGACUGGAUCUCUCACUAUUUAGGUGAAGAGUCUCAGUUAAGGAUCUCUGGAGAUCAGACACCAGCAGAUCCUCCUCCACCAUGUUCUCUCCAUCAUCUCUACUGCUCCUGCUGGCAGCUGCUUCCUGUGGACGCUGUUAUGAACUGAAUCAGCCUGGAUCCAUGACGGUCCCACCAGGCCAGGUUCUCUCCGUCAACUGUAAGCCUUCAUAUUCAGUUACGAGUUAUUAUACAGCUUGGAUUCGACAGGCUGCAGGAGAAGCUCUGGAGUGGAUUGGAUACAUCAGCAGUGGUGGUAGCUUAUAUUACAAUGAUAAACUGAAAAAUAAGUUCAGCAUCUCCAGAGACACGAGCAGCAACACCAUAACAUUACGAGGCCAGAAUGUACAAGCUGAAGAUUCAGCUGUGUAUUACUGUGCGAGAUUCACAGUGAUGCUGAGUAGUGGAGUCACCUCACAAAAACCAUCUCAAGCUCUCAGUGUGAACCAGACACUGUUUCAGAUGUUAAUGUGUCAUUUAACAAAACAGGGCACCUCUACAACCCUCACCAUCAGUGGUAUUUUGUUGACUGGAAUACAUGAUGUAGAAAGAAGUUGUAAACAAUUCCCAUUCUUUUCAUUUGACUGUAAAGGGUCGAUGUGUUUAUUUAAAAUAUGAAAAUAACAACAGUCUGUGAUUAUUUUAGAUAAAGCUGGAUGUGUUGUCUACUAUUAGGACCUGGAUGAAUGGUAACUCAAUGGUAAAGUUACUGGACUAGUAAACAGAAGGUUGCUGGUUUGAGCCCCACAUCUGCCAGGUUGCUAAUGCUGGACCCUUGAGCAAGGCCCUUAACCCUCUAUUACUUGGACUAUAUACGGUUUUAAUAAAUAAUAAUACAGGCCAUUUCAAACUGUUCAAGCACACAAUAUCAAUUUUAACUCCAAUAUGAAAGUAAAACAGCAGAGCUCCACUUUCUGUCAGCUGUGGUUCCACCGUGUAUUUCUAUUCAUCUACACAAUCAUCAUUUCAUCUUCUGUGAAAUGAAUCCAAAGCUUCUCUGCAGCUUGUUUAAUGUGCUGUUGUUUCAAACUCGUUCAUUUUUAUAGCUUACCACAUCUUCAUCCUGGUCAGGGUCACUGUGGAUCCUGUUUCCACGGGAUCACGAGGCUCUCUGUGCAGGAACACGGACAGGGACGCCAAUAAUCCAUCGAGGG